UACAGAGGUCUCAAGCGUUGUUCGGAUUCAUUGGGCGUAAAGGGCGCGUAGGCGGCGCGGUAAGUCGGGUGUGAAAUCUCGGAGCUUAACUCCGAAAUUGCAUUCGAGACUGCCGUGCUCGAGGACUGGAGAGGAGAAUGGAAUUCAUGGUGUAGCAGUGAAAUGCGUAGAGAUCAUGAGGAAGACCAGUGGCGAAGGCGGGUCUCUGGACAGUUACUGACACUGAGGCACGAAGGCCAGGGGAGCAAACGGG
rnacentral:rRNA from 1 species